rnacentral:lncRNA from 1 species
AUCGAUCGUCUCUCGCCUCGAGCAGUCAUUGCUAAAACUGAGAAAACUCAACUCCAUAUCUGAUAUCUGAAACAGGGCUGGCAAAAGGGAUAGCCACAGAAGUUCCUCUUCCAUUGGGAAUUUAUUUGAAGAACACCUAUUUGAAGAAGAAAAAAGAAAAUCAAAAAAACAUCUAAACAAAAUACAAAGGCAAAACCAUAGAAAACUUUCCCAAAUAAAGUUCAACCUAACUAGAAGAAAAAAAAAAAAAUCAAAGUAAAAAUAUUUACACCUCACUCAGAUGGGAGUUGCCGCAACUCUAGCAAAAAAAAAGACUUACUGUCUCACAAAAGUAAAAAAUCUAUACAAAGGAAC